rnacentral:antisense_RNA from 1 species
CUUCACGGCGCCGAGCAGCAGCGGCUGUGCCGGGUCGCGGUCGCGGCCGUAGGUGGCCAGCAGCGCCUGGGCCUC